GAUGAACGCUAGCGGCAGGCUUAAUACAUGCAAGUCGAGGGGUAGCAAGAUUGUAGCAAUACAAUUGUUGACGACCGGCAAACGGGUGCGGAACACGUACACAACCUUCCUACAAGUGGGGAAUAGCCCAGAGAAAUUUGGAUUAAUACCCCGUAACAUAGCGAUGUGGCAUCACAUUGCUAUUAUAGCUUCGGCGCUUGUUGAUGGGUGUGCGGCUGAUUAGAUAGUUGGCGGGGUAACGGCCCACCAAGUCUACGAUCAGUAGCUGAUGUGAGAGCAUGAUCAGCCACACGGGCACUGAGACACGGGCCCGACUCCUACGGGAGGCAGCAGUAAGGAAUAUUGGACAAUGGACGCAAGUCUGAUCCAGCCAUGCCGCGUGAAGGAUUAAGGUCCUCUGGAUUGUAAACUUCUUUUAUAAGGGACGAAAAAAGGUCUUUCUAGAUCGUCUGACGGUACCGGAAGAAUAAGGACCGGCUAACUACGUGCCAGCCGCCGCGGUAAGAC
rnacentral:rRNA from 1 species